CUGUUUGUGAAUAGGAAUAUCACAAGCUGGAGGGCAAGU
rnacentral:sRNA from 1 species